rnacentral:misc_RNA from 1 species
AACUUACCUAUACGUUGCUUCGGCGGGAAUAGACGGCCCCGUAAAACGGGCCGCCCCCGCCAGAGGACCCUUAACUCUGUUUCUAUAAUGUUUCUUCUGAGUAAAACAAGCAAAUAAAUUAAAACUUUCAACAACGGAUCUCUUGGCUCUGGCAUCGAUGAAGAACGCAGCGAAAUGCGAUAAGUAAUGUGAAUUGCAGAAUUCAGUGAAUCAUCGAAUCUUUGAACGCACAUUGCGCCCGCCAGUAUUCUGGCGGGCAUGCCUGUUCGAGCGUCAUUACAACCCUCAGGCCCCCGGGCCUGGCGUUGGGGAUCGGCGGAGCCCCCCGUGGGCACACGCCGUCCCUCAAAUACAGUGGCGGUCCCGCCGCAGCUUCCAUCGCGUAGUAGCUAACACCUCGCGACUGGAGAGCGGCGCGGCCACGCCGUAAAACACCCAACUCUUCUGAA